GGCACUGCCAAAUUUAAAUUCCUUUAGGAGUAAAGGGACUGCAGCAAAGGGGUGGAUAGAGGAUUCCCACCUAUCCAACAUCACCACUGGGAUACUCAGGAUGUCCUUUAAUGUCAACAACAUUAGGCACAUAGCUUGCAGCAGAAUACCCAGAAGGCAAUGAUAUUAAAUAUAACUCCAAAAAAGACUAUCUCAUGACAAAGCUGACUGAGGCCAGAGUAGAUGUGAAAUUUUAAUUCUUCUCUGUAGAGGUUCUUGAACAGCAGAUGAUUUUGCCUUACUUGGUGAGACUACUGACCAACAGCAGCAAAUGCUGGAAGAGCACUGAAAAAUGGUAGAAUAUAUAGGACUUCAGAUCAAUGCUGAUGAAGUCAAAGUGACGCAUGUGUCCUACAAAAGGGAACGAAUGACCUGAUGCUGCUGCAUGUAGAUGACAAUGACACUGAAUGGAGUUGGCAGGACCUUUGGCAUCUGAGAGGGGAACCAUGCCACCAGGACACGAGCAGCAACCCAGAGAUGGUAGAGGCUGAUGGAGAAGGACCUGAGAGCUACUCAUAGCGAUGGACUGGAGAAAUGAGGAGCAGUUUGAAUUUCUCAGGGUACUGAAAGAUUGGGCUCUUCAGCUGGAAAAUGCAUUGAUAAACCAUUUCCUGGAGCAGGAGGAAAGCCACAGGGAACAGGAGCAUUCUGUAAUGGAGAGGCUCAUUGAACUGGUGGCCAAAUGAGUUCAGGGUCUACCUGCUGCUGAGGCCACUGAACCUGCCCAUGAAAUGCCACCUCCCACCUCUAGCUGCUGCCCAGAGUGCUACUGAGUUAAAAGAGCCUCUUUCAAAGACUCCCCCACACACACUGCCAGAGUGACUGGGAGGAGAACAGGGAUCUCGGGACCUCACCCUUCACCGGCAUCCAAAAUCCCUUGCAGGAGGACUCCCCUGAGCAUCCAAGGAGGGGACCGAUGAGUCUGAGAGUCCUGGAGCCCCCCAAGUUCCCACCCUCCCAAACCCCUUGCAGAAGACAUACCCAGCUUUCCCCAAGAGUGAUUUCCCCCCCAUCACAUGCCCUGUCAGGAGGAGGGCAAGGAGACAGGUGCAGAGACAGCAAUAUUUGGCCUGUGUUCCCAGUUGCAUUCCCUUCAGUUUUUAAAGGUUU